rnacentral:rRNA from 1 species
GGACUAACAGAUUGGUCGCGCCUUUGGUGUGUACUGGUCUAGUUGGUUUCUCCCUUCUGAUGAACCACGAUGUCAUUAAUUUGGUGUCGCGGGGAAUCAGGACUGUUACUUUGAAAAAAUUAGAGUGUUUAAAGCAGGCAUUAGCUUGAAUACAUUAGCAUGGAAUAAUGAAAUAGGACG